UACGGGGGGGGGCAAGCGUUGUUCGGAAUUACUGGGCGUAAAGGGCGCGUAUGCGGUUUGCUAAGUUGGAUGUGAAAACUUUGGGCUUAACCCAGAGCCUGCAUCCAAAACUAGCAGACUAGAGUUCUGGAGGGGGUAGCGGAAUUCCUGGUGUAGCGGUGAAAUGCGUAGAUAUCAGGAGGAACACCGGUGGCGAAGGCGGCUACCUGGACAGAAACUGACGCUGAGGCGCGAAAGCUAGGGGAGCAAACAGG
rnacentral:rRNA from 1 species